GGGGAUAUAGUUUAGUGGUAUAGCACGUGCUUAGCAUGCAUGAGGUCCUAGGUUCAAUUCCUAGUACCUCCA
rnacentral:tRNA from 1 species